CAGGUAUCUUGGAUUUCGGCAUGAGAUUACUACUGAUGCUGCAUUAAAGCGUUUGGUUUAAUACAGUAAUGUAAUACUAGAUUACAGUGUUUAUAGCAUUAAUAUGUUUGGUUCAGUUUAUAAAAUUUAGUAAUCCUGACAUAAAAGUAUAGUUUUUUCCAAAAUUGCCCUUGUUGUUGUCAUUUGAAUAUUAUUUUUUGCGAAAAUGACGAAUGGAGGGAAGGAGAUCGUGAUGAUUACUUGGGAGGACGACGCAAUAGAAGAUGAUAGGUGUUCGUGCGAGAGAGAGAGAGAGAGAGAGAGAGAGACGUCGAGAGAGAGAGCGAGAGAAAGUGGCGUGCGAUAGAGAGGGCCGGGGGGAAGGAGAGAGAAAGAUGAAAAUAAUGCUGUUAAUUAGAUUUGGGGUUGUUGGAGGGUAAAAUUGUCAUUUUACAUAAUAUGUAGUAUUAACGGGUUUUAGUAAUGCAAGAUACACGACCCCCCUCCCGUUAAUAUUUUCGAUGUAAUCCUGCUCGAUUUGUAAUGCUACAUUAACGACU
rnacentral:lncRNA from 1 species